rnacentral:rRNA from 1 species
GACGAACGCUGGCGGCAUGCCUAAUACAUGCAAGUCGAGCGAACUGUUGGAAGCUUGCUUCCUUCAGUUAGCGGCGGACGGGUGAGUAACACGUGGGCAACCUGCCCUUCAGAUGGGGAUAACUCCGGGAAACCGGGGCUAAUACCGAAUAAUCCAUUCUCUCGCAUGAGAGAAUGUUGAAAGACGGUUUCGGCUGUCACUGAACGGAUGGGCCCGCGGCGCAUUAGCUAGUUGGUGAGGUAACGGCUCACCAAGGCCACGAUGCGUAGCCGACUUGAGAGGGUGAUCGGCCACACUGGGACUGAGACACGGCCCAGACUCCUACGGGAGGCUG